UACGUAGGGCGCAAGCGUUAUCCGGAAUUAUUGGGCGUAAAGAGCUCGUAGGCGGUUUGUCGCGUCUGCCGUGAAAGUCCGGGGCUCAACUCCGGAUCUGCGGUGGGUACGGGCAGACUAGAGUGAUGUAGGGGAGACUGGAAUUCCCGGUGUAGCGGCGAAAUGCGCAGAUAUCAGGAGGAACACCGAUGGCGAAGGCAGGUCUCUGGGCAUUAACUGACGCUGAGGAGCGAAAGCAUGGGGAGCGAACGGG
rnacentral:rRNA from 1 species